rnacentral:rRNA from 1 species
AUUGAACGCUGGCGGCAUGCCUUACACAUGCAAGUCGAACGGCAGCACGGGGGCAACCCUGGUGGCGAGUGGCGAACGGGUGAGUAAUGCAUCGGAACGUGCCCCGUAGCGGGGGAUAACCAGUCGAAAGACUGGCUAAUACCGCAUACGCUCCACGGAGGAAAGCAGGGGAUCGCAAGACCUUGCACUAUGGGAGCGGCCGAUGCCCGAUUAGCUAGUUGGUGAGGUAAAGGCUCACCAAGGCGACGAUCGGUAGCUGGUUUGAGAGAACGACCAGCCACACUGGGACUGAGACACGGCCCAGACUCCUACGGGAGGCAGCAGUGGGGAAUUUUGGACAAUGGGCGCAAGCCUGAUCCAGCCAUGCCGCGUGGAGGAUGAAGGUCUUCGGAUUGUAAACUCCUGUUGCCCGGGACGAAUGGCUCCGACCUAACACGUCGGAGUGUGACGGUACCGGGUGAGGAAG